rnacentral:rRNA from 1 species
AAUGAACGUUGGCGGCGUGGAUUAGGCGUGCAAGUCGAGCGAGAAGUCAUUUGAUGAAGCUUCGGCCGAUUCAGAUGACGGACAGCGGCGAAAGGGAGAGUAACGCGUAGGUACGUACCUCUAGGACUGGGAUAGCGUCGGGAAACUGGCGGUAAUACCAGAUGACGUCUCCGGACCAAAGGUGAGAUUCCGCCUAGAGAGCGGCCUGCGUCCUAUUAGGUAGUUGGUGGGGUAAAGGCCUACCAAGCCGAAGAUGGGUACCGGGUGUGAGAGCAUGGCCCGGCUCACUGGGACUGAGACACUGCCCAGACACCUACGGGUGGCUGCAGUCGAGAAUCUUCCGCAAUGGACGCAAGUCUGACGGAGCGACGCCGCGUGCGGGAUGAAGGCCUUCGGGUUGUAAACCGCUGUCAGUGGGGAGCAAAUCCAUGGUGGCUAUCCAUCAUGGUUGAGCGAACCGCAGAGGAAGCGCAGGCUAAGUUCGUG